rnacentral:tRNA from 1 species
CCGGGGGGAUUCAGGGUCAUGUGCCCGCAAGGGCGUGCGGGUUCAAGUCCCGCCCCCGGCACCA